AUCUGGCUGACGAGUCCCAAGUGGGACGGAGUGCGCGUCCUGGAU
rnacentral:hammerhead_ribozyme from 1 species